AUGGAAUAUCUCAUCGGAGACACUGUUUCCUUCCAAUGUGUGGCUCCCACUUCAAAGGACAAGAUACAGAGCUUUCAGUUCUCAGGGACAGCUGGAUGGGCUGUGGACAUUCGGACCUCCAGGAAAGCCUACACCUACACCUUCAACAUCACAGGGCCAAAGGAUGGUGGGUCACACACAUGCAGAUAUACUGUGAUAAAUCGUCUCCUUAGAUCAGUCCAGUCUAAGGAAAGCAAAGCAAUCAUCAUCAGUGUCAAAGACCCUCCACCCCCUCCCACACUUUCUCUGAACACUUCCAGGGGAGUUGUGAGUGAGGGCUACCCCCUCCUCUUCGUCUGCACAGCUCCUGGAAACACAGUGGAGCAUAGGUUUCACUUCUACAAAGAAGGAGCUGAGGUCAUCCCUGGAUCUGAGGUCAAAUCAUCAGAGACGAGCGCUCAACUCUGCAUCCCACAGAGCAGUCAGAAUCACACGGGGAAUUUUACUUGUGCCUACGAGGAGAAAGUAGAGGAGAGGUGGAUCCUGUCCUUUGUGAGCAGUGUUGUGACUGUCUUUGUGAAAGAGCCUCCUUUCGCUCCUGAACUGCGAGUGGAUCCUUCCUCUGCUGUGGUGACUGAAGGCUACCCCUUACGUUUCACCUGCAUUGCCUUCAGGGAUGACUCAAGGCUGAGAUUUCACUUCUACAGGGAUGGGGUUGAGAUUUCACCAGGACAGGGAGGCUCAGAGAUCACUGCCAUGAACCCUGGGAAUUUCACUGAGCUCCUGUUACCGCAGACUCCAAGGAGGUUCAGUGGGAAAUUCACUUGCGGAUUUGAGGAGGAUGUGGGCGGGACGUGGGUGCCAUCACCCCAGAGCAAGGUUCUGGAGGUCACUGUGAAGGAUCCCCCUGCUCAGCCAGAGCUGAUCUUGAACCCCCCCUCUGGAGAAGUGAGGGAAGGGGACCCCUUACUUAUCACUUGUGUAGCCUAUGGCAUUAGCAGCGAAUGGAAGUUUUACUUCUAUAAAGACGGGACAGAACAAUUCUCAGAGGCUUGCACAAGGAACCAUUCUUUCUUCAGCAUCCCAGCAGCUGAACCAACUGUGACAGGGCAAUUCACCUGCAGGUACGAGGAGAGAGUCAGUGGGAAGUGGAUCCCAUCACCCCUGAGCCAAGCAAUGAUGGUCACCAUGCAAGCCUCAUCUCUACCCAUCCCAUUGGUGACUGGAUGCGCAGCUGCUGCAGCUGUUAUAGUCCUGGUGUUGCUGCUGGCUGUCUGUAUCUGCCAGAGGAGGAGAGGUAAGUCAUGAGUGCAAAGGGAAGAAAGAGGAUUCAGGCUGGCUAAGAUCAGAGGAUACUUUUGAGAGGAAAGGAGAUUGUGACACUGAUGAGAAGAAAAUGUGCAGUCAAGGGGCAAGUGUCCCUACUCCUAGUAUGCCUUUGGUUUGUGGGUCCCUCCAAAGCAUGGAUCACAGUUUAUUCCCAGAAGGUUGAGCAUGCGGAGCAUCCUCCCACAAACCCAUGCUGUGCAGCAUGCUCUAGUGUGAUGGUGGCAGCCCAAACUGGUAAUAUCACCUCAACCCUAACCCUGAUCCUUGGAGGGUAUGAUGGGGGCAACACCAUAUUGGCAUAGGACAUUUUGGGGGCCUCCUAUGAGCCUUUUCAGCUGGUGACAGCCCAUUUUUAGCAAACCAGGUGUUUUAACCAGAAACUCUUUCAUUUCUCUCUUUGCUAGGCCGUGUUCACUGGAAGGGGCUCCACAACAAAGAUGACACAAGUGCUUAUCCUCUGGCCCUGGUCAGUUAAACUGGUAUUUGAUCUCAGGAGUGCCUGGCACAUAUCUUUGCUCAAAAAAUGCACUCAUUUUCAGCCUCUUCUCCACCUCAGUGGAGCAAAAAAGAAGACAAAAGGAAAGAAAAGGAUUGUUUCUAUUCUUCUUUGCUUUGAACAUUGAAGCCAGAGUUCACUUUGUAAAUGCCCCUGUCCAGCUGGUCAGUAAAUCUCUCUUCAAGUCCACCAAUGUUUCUUUCUCUCAUUCCCUUCCGCCAUCUUUCUCAGCCUGAUAGA
rnacentral:lncRNA from 1 species